GAAAACGUCAACUCCAACAAAACUCAAAACUUCAUACAAUUAAGAUCUGGGUUGGACACCAAAAGGCAGCUCCAUUUUUAAAUUGGCAACGUGUGCCUCAUACAAAUUUAGUCAGAAUGAGUACAGUGUAGCAAGCUAGCUCGCUAACGUUCGCUACCAGGAAGUUAGCCAUCUGACUGAAAAACUGAGGCGACAAUAUGUUUUUUUCUGCCUGGAGUGAACCUUGGGAUUAUCAGGAAGAAUAAGAGGUGCUUCUUCUCCCUACCUCCGCACUGGGAAAGGCAUACGCUGGCAGUGAUGCCCCUGUGGAAAUGAAGUGGGAUGUCAUAUUCAUAAUGUUAAAAGCGCAGACAUAAUGCAGGUGACGGAUGGCUUCUGUGACUGAUGUAAUUGUCAGACUUCCAUUCUCCCUCCGUCGCACACAGAUUAAAGCCCCGGCUAGAAUAAAUCAGAGCUGUAAUGAGCACCUCACACUCGGCUGCCGUGGAGACUCGGCUGCCGUGGAGACUCGGCUUUCACUCAUCUCCUGCCAGUAAUGCAGCAGCAGGCCUGGAGAGCCGGCCAUUACCUCUUCACGUUCACAUUCACUCCUGCCUUUAACUAACAUUACAUAAAUGGCAUUUCUUAAAAUCAAGGUCUCUCCACAUAAAUGCUGCUGGGAAAGUGGAUUUCACUGGACUUGCUUUAUCUUGCAUCUGUUUGUGCUAAUUUUAACUUCACAAUAUAGGCUCAGUGUGUUUUACAUUAAUACGCCCAUUUGUAAGGUUGAUGCCCAACUUAAUUUCACAUUUUAGUUGGCGCCAAGUGGGAAGUGAGAGUUCUUCCCGGCUAGCCGUGCUUGGGAUUUGUCAGAGUGCCGGAGGGCAGGCCCCCGCUUCUCUUAAUUAGGUUUCAGACCUCUUUAAUUACCACACUUUCCCACCGGCUCAACCGCAGCCUCUCCUCAGGGCCUGUGGACAAGGCUUCAGACACACAACAGCACCCCACUGGAGCGAGAAGAAAAAAAAGAAAAAAAAAAGAAAAACAAAACAAAAUGGUGGAAAAAAAAACUAACACGUAAGCUUCCGAGGCCCACUGAGUGCAGCUGCACUGUAAUUAUCACCAAGUGGCCUCCACAUCUGUGUGCAAACAAUCCCACAGCUGCCACACAGUGUGUGAAGACACAGGUCAGAAGGAAUGUCUCCCUUUUUAGUCCGCCUGGGGUGCACACGCUCCUGCUGAGUGCUGCUGUAUGUCGACAUCUCACAGACUUUGGCGAAUAUCAUCAACUACACAGAAAGGCCACCGCCUGAGUGAUCCUAGUAGGUGUACUGUACAAUGGAUUUAUACUGGGGUUUUUUAUGUCAAAACAACAACAGCACUAUCAGGGUGCUUCACGUUCGGACCGGACACAAAGACUGCCAUGUAGUACCUCGACAGCUUCUGAACCAUAAAGAGGCUUUCAGACAGAUAGAGGAAGGACUGAAAGAAAGCUGGAGGAGAGAGGAAGGAAAGAAGACACUCUUCCAUGGCCCCUCUCAGAUGAACUUCACAACAGGUUAUACUGCACACGCGGGACAAACCACGCCUCUGGAGUUCAUAUCUCAUCUCUGCAGACCAGAUAGUUUACUCGUCAACUCAGAGAACAACCACCUGGCCAACCCAGGAAACAACCCAAAUGCUUAUCACUGCUCGUCAUAAUUCAAUCUCUCUCUCUCUCUCUCUCUCUCUCUCCCUCUCUCUCUCUCUCUCUCUCUCUCUCUCUUUCUCUCUGUCUCUCUCUCUCUCUCUCUCUCCCUUUGUAUGAGUCUAUCUUUCACUGAGGAGGCUGGAGCCACACUUGUUAACAUG